rnacentral:rRNA from 1 species
AUGGGGCCCUCGGGGCUCAAUCCGCAGGCGAAUCCUGGCAUGAGCCAAGAUAAUUGGACCCCGUGCGUGUGGCCGGAGAGCGGCGCUCCAAGCCUUCCUGGCAACACACCCUUGUUCCUGCAGGGCGAUGCGGCGGCCACCAUAGGCUGGCAAAAUCUUGCUGGACCCGGGAUCAGCCAUGCCACAGCGAUGGUGAAUGCUAUGCGCGGGGGUGCCACUCUGAUGAGUGGCGCUGCCCAACAAGAUGCCGGGUCCUCCGUCCGGCCGCCCUGUAACCUGCCUGCAGGGUGCACGCAGGUGCCGAUAAGUAUCGUGGUGUUCCAUAGGAGGGCAUCCAGGCCCGCGCCGCCGCCACCUCAUACGCCCACUCCAGUUCCUGCUCCGCUCGGUGUAGCACGAGAUUCUGAAGAUGAUACUUCUAUUCAGUUUGCUCGAAGAGAUUUCCUAUCACUUGGAAGGGAGUCAGAUGUUGCUGCCACUGAUAUGGCCAUAGAUCCUUCAACACUAGCAGUUCCAGUUAAUCGCAGUUCUGAACAUCCACCAAUACAGCUUCAGCCAAAUGGUGUAGAUGCAGAAGCACCCACAACCGGAAUUCAAGCAGAUGAUAGUCAACAAUCGUCAUCAUCAUCACCAGGUGUAACUGAUCAGAACAUGCAAACGUAUCAGCAGACACCAGAAAAGCUCAAGACACAAAGUCAGCUGAAUGAUCACACAGUUUUGUCAGCAGCAGCUGCAUUCAAGGAAAUUGAGGAGGCCCCUGCAAGAAAAGCGAAGCCUCGGAGGAAGAAACAUAGAGCGAAGGUAAUCCGUGAAGACAAGAAGAUCAAGAAGCAAAAGUCUGCUGUUGCAACGUCAGAAGAAAAAUCUAAUCAGAAACUUCGCAAGCAAAUCAAGAAGCAAAAGCCUGCUGUUACAACGCCAGAAGAAGAAUCUAAUCAGAAACUUAACAAGCAAAUCAAGAAGCAAAAGCCUGCUGUUGCAACGCCAGAAGAAGGAACUAAUCAGAAAGCCAAGAGAAGUUAUGUCCGGAAGAAAAGAAAUCUCAGCUCUCUGGAGACUUGCUCGGGACCUGUUAGCGACCAAUCAGUCUCCAGGGGAGCAGAAGACGCUGUUAGAAGCAGAGCUGUAUCAGUCCGAAGAAGGUUGCAGUUGGAAUUUGGUGAACAAGGAGCACUGGGAGACCAAUCAUCAGCUGGCAACUCAUGUCUCCACAUUGAGGAGAAACUCAUUCAUGCUAAAAGUUCUUUCUGUUCAACUGCCACUGUAUCAACUGCGCAGGGUGCACAUGGACUACAUGUGGACAUGGAAACUUCACCAGGAGGAUUAGCUUUUGGCAUGAGUCGCAAGAUGAACAAACUGUUAGAUGAGUACAUACAUUUGCCAGAGAUGGGAACAAAGUGUACACAAGAAGUUCCGCCUGCAACUUCUGGAUGUUUUAGCAGGGAGCCAACAACAAAACAAGACAGUGUACGAAGCACUCAUGGUCUUGAUGCCACAAGGAUUGGGGUUACCAUAAUGGAAGGGUAUAACAAGGGCUUGGAGGCAAACGACUCUAGCAAGGCUGGUUUUGCUAUGCAUUGCUCAGCUACAUUUAUACCUGAAACAGCAUCCACAGAAAGUCAGACUAAGGUGUCGAGAGUGGAGAAAAGGAAACAUCAACAGCGCAGAGAGAGUGAGUCCUCCCUAGCUGGCUCACGGGACUCGGUCAUCUUAAGUACUGCUGCUCAGAUGCUAGCAUUUUGUCAAGCUGGUGGGAUAAAAAAGAAGCGAACGGUCCGAGUCCGCAGGAGUUCGUAUGUUCCUAUAAUGAAUAUUGAGAUGAAUAGGGCACAAGUACUGCCACGGUUAUCUCAGUCAUGCCUGGAGGCCCUGUAUGAAAGUCCUGGUUUUAAUUUUUUUACCAAGAAACGUUCACGAAGGGUACGACGCCAUUACCGAAGAUCAGAUGGAUUUUUUCAGCCUCCAGAAAACAGAAAAUUCUACCAUGAUGUUUAUUCUGAAGCAACAGAAAAAAGCUCACAAAACUCACAAUAUAAGUCAACUCCAUAUAUGGAUUUCCUUCAAAGAGUUGCAUCAGGGCUGAAAUAUCUUGAUUUGAACACCGAGCCUGUGCAUACAAAUGAGAUGUAUCCAUCUCUGACUACAUCAGCUGUUGUCCCUUUUGGAGCAACAGGCAGCCUAUCAAAUUCUCUUGUACCAUUUGGUAGUCAGAUGAUCUUUCCAUAUGAGAUGCCAUUGCAUUUAGUCAAGAAGCAGCGCCCUCGAGCUAAAGUUGAAUUGGAUUUUGAGACAACAAGAGUUUGGAACCUCUUGAUGGGGAAAGCAACUGAUGUGCCUGUUGAUGGGAAUGAUGUUGACAAAGAGAAAUGGUGGCAACAAGAAAGAGAGGUUUUUCAGGGCCGUGCUGAUUCAUUUGUAGCACGCAUGCGACUAAUUCAAGGCGACAGGCACUUUUCUCCAUGGAAAGGAUCAGUAGUUGACUCCGUAGUAGGGGUUUUCCUCACUCAGAAUGUAGCUGACCAUCUUUCGAGCUCUGCCUAUAUGGCCCUUGCUGCAAGUUUUCCUCCAGGGCCAGUUAAUAGCAAUUGUAAGGAUGAUAUUAUCAGUCAAAAUUAUGAAGAAAUAAUUAGCACGAGUGCAGUAGGAGGGAUAAGCACAUUUGACCUAUUUGACAACGGUGCAAGACCAGAUCUACGAGAGAACUUUGAGGAGCUGUCAACAAACAAUGAGAACAUACAUGUAGAAACAAAGAACAAUUCUAGUGCUUAUGAGUUGACUAAAGGUGAAGAUUAUUCCUUCUACUCCAAAGAACCGAAUGGAGAUUUUUGUGACCAGCAAGAGACAGAAAUAAACCCCAAAGCAUCACAAUUUCCAGAUUUCUCCAUAGAGUUAAUAACAUCAGAAAGAAGCUCACGAGCAAUGCAGUUCCAGAAGGAUAUGCCAUCUUCUCAAAGUGUUGCUGUUUCAGAAACUAUUCUUCAAUCUCGAUUGUCUUCAAGUUCUGGGAAAAAUUGUUCACCUAAAGAUUCUGUUGGCAGCGGCGGUGGUUCAGUUUCUCAGCAGCUUGGAAGCAAUUUUGAUGGUCAAAAUUCAUUAGCAGGAAACGAUGCCUCAACCAAGGAACUUGAAUGCCAAAGAAUCAAAACAACAGCAAUAAAUGAUGAUAGUGCAAGUCAGCAUGGAAUUCCCUCUACUUCGAUUAUGCAUUAUCCAUUUAUCUCAGUUGAUCAUCAACAACUAGAUAUGACAAAUGAAUCAUAUGUUCUGCCUACAUCUUCUAAUAGUUCCUCUGGUUCUGCAUCAUUGCACUUAAAAAAUGACAGAACUGAGAAGGAACUUCCUCUCUUGGUGCCAUUUGAUAAUCAUAUAGCACAAAUGAAUUAUAGCAAGACUGUUAUCUCAACACUAAAUGCUCCAAAAACAAGCACGGAUCUUCCAGUCAAGUUGCACUAUGACGAGCAGACUAGUUUUGAAGCAUCAGAUUUCCAGGAGUAUGAAUCACACUCUGUCACUGGUGGAACGGUAGCAGAAACAGCAAACAGGGUGGAUGAAUCUACUGUCGGAGGAGCAGAUAAAGCAGCAAGUCCAAAGAAAACAAGAACCCCAAGAAAAAAAAAUACUGAAAACUUCGACUGGGACAAAUUUCGAAGACAGGCCUGUGCUGAUGGCCACAUGAAAGAAAGGAAGUCUGAAAGAAGAGACUCUGUUGAUUGGGAAGCAGUACGAUGUGCAGAUGUACAAAGAAUUUCUCAGGCCAUCCGGGAACGAGGAAUGAAUAAUGUUUUAUCAGAACGAAUCCAGGAAUUCCUGAAUCGCUUGGUUAGAGAUCAUGGAAGCAUUGAUCUUGAAUGGUUAAGAGAUAUCCCCCCUGACUCAGCAAAGGACUACUUGCUUAGCAUACGUGGACUGGGGCUCAAAAGUGUUGAAUGUGUUCGUCUACUGACAUUACAUCAUCUCGCUUUCCCUGUUGACACCAAUGUUGGCCGCAUAUGUGUAAGACUGGGAUGGGUGCCUAUUCAACCCCUUCCAGAAUCUCUGCAGCUACAUCUCCUCGAGCUAUAUCCUGUCUUGGAGACUAUACAGAAGUACCUUUGGCCUCGUCUGUGUAAACUUGAUCAAAAAACACUGUACGAGCUGCAUUAUCAUAUGAUUACUUUUGGAAAGGUGUUCUGUACAAAAAACAAGCCAAAUUGCAAUGCUUGUCCAAUGAGAAGCGAAUGCAGGCAUUUCGCAAGUGCCUUUGCAAGUGCACGGCUUGCACUUCCUGCACCUCAGGAGAAAAGUUUGGUGAAGUCGAGCAAUCAAUUCAGUUUCCAGAGUGGUGGCAUGCCAACUCCAUACUCAACUGUGCUUCCUCAGCUUGAGGGAAGUACCCAGGGACAUGAUUUUCGCACUAACAAUUCAGAGCCGAUUAUUGAGGAGCCAGCAAGUCCAGCACGGGAAGAAUGUCCAGAAACUCUUGAAAAUGAUAUUGAAGAUUACGAUCCAGAUACUGGUGAAAUCCCACUAAUUAAGCUUAACUUGCAAGCUUUUGCUCAGAACUUGGAAAACUGCAUUAAAGAAAGCAAUAUGGAUCUCGGGUCUGAUGAUAUCGCGAAAGCACUUGUUGCUGUUAGCACUGGAUCAGCUUCAAUUCCUGUCCCUAAACUAAAGAACGUGCGCAGACUUCGGACAGAACACUAUGUUUACGAAAUUCCAGAUUCACACUCCCUUGUGCAGCAGCUAGGACUUGAUCAACGGGAAACUGGCGAUCCAAGCCCUUACCUAUUGACCAUAUGGAUGCAAGAUGACAUAAAUGAAAUGACCAAGGCCCCCAAACCAUGUUCUGACUCUCCGAUGGAAGAUGGAUUUUGUAAUAAUGAGAAGUGUCAGUAUUGUGUGCUUGAGCGGGAAAACCAAUCUAGAUAUGUCAGAGCCACCAUUCUGGUUCCGUGUCGAACAGCUACGAAGGGUAGUUUCCCACUGAACGGCACUUAUUUUCAAGUUAAUGAGGUAUUUGCAGACCACAAAUCUAGCUACGAUCCGAUAUACGUUGCAAGGGAGCAGUUAUGGAAGUUGGAAAGACGAAUGGUCUACUUUGGAACUUCAGUGCCCUCCAUAUUCAAAGGUCUAACAACUGAAGAAAUACAGCAGUGCUUCUGGAAAGGAUUUGUCUGUGUGCGGGGAUUCGAGAGGGAAACCGGGGCACCAAGGCCUCUAUGCCAACAUCUGCACGUCGCAGCAAGCAAAGUGCCCAGAUCACGCAAUGCGGCAGCAGCUGGGCGGAACUCGGAUUCAGCAAAGGCAUCAGCUCCAUGA